AGUGAACGCUGGCGGUAGGCCUAACACAUGCAAGUCGAACGGCAGCACAGUAAGAGCUUGCUCUUACGGGUGGCGAGUGGCGGACGGGUGAGGAAUACAUCGGAAUCUACUUUUUCGUGGGGAUAACGUAGGGAAACUUACGCUAAUACCGCAUACGACCUACGGGUGAAAGCAGGGGAUCUUCGGACCUUGCGCGAUUGAAUGAGCCGAUGUCGGAUUAGCUAGUUGGCGGGGUAAAGGCCCACCAAGGCGACGAUCCGUAGCUGGUCUGAGAGGAUGAUCAGCCACACUGGAACUGAGACACGGUCCAGACUCCUACGGGAGGCAGCAGUGGGGAAUAUUGGACAAUGGGCGCAAGCCUGAUCCAGCCAGACCGCGUGGGUGAAGAAGGCCUUCGGGUUGUAAAGCCCUUUUGUUGGGAAAGAAAAGCAGCAGGUUAAUACCCCGCUGUUCUGACGGUACCCAAAGAAUAAGCACCGGCUAACUUCGUG
rnacentral:rRNA from 1 species